CAGGAAUCUAAGAGUACCUUAGCUGGGUGGUUCUUGUUUAAGGUCUCAUGAAAUUGCAGUCAAGCUGUUGACUGGGGUUUUGGUUGUUUGAAGGCUUGACCAGGGCUGAAAGAUGUGUUUCUAAGAUAUCUUACUCUCAUGGUUGUUAUCACAAGACUUCAAUUCAUAGCCAUGUGGACUUCCUCAGGGGGGCUGCUCAUGAUAUGAUGGCUGGUUUCCUGCAGUGAGUGAUCUAAAAGAGAAACUGAGAGAGCAAUACAACAGAAGCCCCAAUGUCUUAUAAUCUAAUCUUAGAAGUGACAGAUCAAUCUUGUUAAAUGUGGGAGGGGACUACACAAAAAUGUGAAUAACAGAAGUUGGGGAUUAUUAAGUUCAUUUUAGAUGCUGGCUACUGAAAUUACUACCUAUAUUAUUUACCCAUGUUUAUUUGAUUCAACUUUAACCUUGAAGCCUUUAAAGAAUUACAGUAUUAUUCCUGGGCAUAGUUUAUCACAAAUCUAGGUUGUAUUUUGCCAGUUCAGUACUUAUAAUCAAUAUUGCACUAUGUAUGUCAACAAAACAUUCUCCUUGCCACAUUCAAAUUUUCUUUUUUGAAGACUAAGCUAAAUCUACUUUCUUUUUUAGAACUGCAGGAUAUAAAAUGUAUCUUACUGAGAAACACACCCAGUGCAAAGGUCUUGAACUGCCAGGAUCUCACCUAGUAUAGGCUUAGGUCUGCUUCACUCUCUCAUUUGAGUCUUACUAUUAACAAGUAGAAAACUGCAAUCAUGCCACUCUGGAAUCAAGAUUUGCUCUCAAAUGAGUCUUUAAUGACUUCGAAACAAAUUGGAUUCUUCACCAAAAAUAUAACUUUAUGGAUCCAAGUUGCAAUUAAAGCUAACCUUUGCAUUUUGGGAACUGCCCUGGGACCUUUUUUGCUCUACAAAAUCUGGAGAAAGCACAAAAAGAAAGGUAAGAAAUCAUAGGGAAAAUGCAAUGCAUUCUGAGGUUAAAAAUACAGAGUUAAAAAUAGUGCAGGACUUUUGUAUAUGGAAUGGAUGAUCAAUGAAGACUUGCUGUAUAGCACAGGGACAUAUACUUAAUGUUCUGUAAUAACCUAUAUAGAAAUGGAUAUGUGUAUAUGUAUAUGUAAAGCUGAGUCACUUUGCUGUAUAGUGAUUGCAGAAAUUAACACUGUAAAUCAACUGUACUUCAAUAAAAUUAAAUUAAACAGUGGUACA
rnacentral:lncRNA from 1 species